GCAGCUGCUGCCUGGCUUUACUUACAACUUUUUUUUGUAAAGGAACUUACCUCCAUCUGUCUUUGCAAGUUUUAGGGUAGAAAGAGUCCCUGUAACCCCUGAAGACAGUAAAUCACAGUUUGCAUGGUGGUUCUCAGAAGACACUUAAAAGAACUGAAUUGGAUGCUCUACAUAGCGCCCUUGCCAAAAGAGUUCGGAAAUGACUUCCAGCUUCCCACAGUAAUAAAAUGGCACUGUUUGGCAUCUUUAAGGUCUCGGACAACUCACUCUAAGCCACACAACUAGUUCUGAAGAGUAUGGAGCCUACAUAGAGUCAUAAGAGCCCAAUGUUUCCCAAGGA
rnacentral:lncRNA from 1 species